GCGGCAGGCUUAACACAUGCAAGUCGAGGGGUAUAUGUCUUCGGAUAUAGAGACCGGCGCACGGGUGCGUAACGCGUAUGCAAUCUACCUUUCACAGAGGGAUAGCCCAGAGAAAUUUGGAUUAAUACCUCAUAGUAUAUAGCCCUGGCAUCAGGAUUAUAUUAAAGUCACAACGGUGAAAGAUGAGCAUGCGUCCCAUUAGCUAGAUGGUAAGGUAACGGCUUACCAUGGCUACGAUGGGUAGGGGUCCUGAGAGGGAGAUCCCCCACACUGGUACUGAGACACGGACCAGACUCCUACGGGAGGCAGCAGUGAGGAAUAUUGGACAAUGGGCGCAAGCCUGAUCCAGCCAUGCCGCGUGCAGGAUGACGGUCCUAUGGAUUGUAAACUGCUUUUAUACGAGAAGAAACACUCCUUCGUGAAGGAAUUUGACGGUAUCGUAAGAAUAAGGAUCGGCUAACUCCGUGCCAGCAGCCGCGGUAAUACGGAGGAUCCAAGCGUUAUCCGGAAUCAUUGGGUUUAAAGGGGUCCGUAGGCGGUUUAGUAAGUCAGUGGUGAAAGCCCAUCGCUCAACGGUGGAACGGCCAUUGAUACUGCUGAACUUGAAUUAUUAGGAAGUAACUAGAAUAUGUAGUGUAGCGGUGAAAUGCUUAGAGAUUACAUGGAAUACCAAAUGGAUUGACGCUGAUGGACGAAAGCGUGGGUAGCGAACAGGAUUAGAUACCCUGGUAGUCCACGCCGUAAACGAUGGAUACUAGCUGUUGGAAGCAAUUUCAGUGGCUAAGCGAAAGUGAUAAGUAUCCCACCCGGGGAGUACGUUCGCAAGAAUGAAACUCAAAGGAAUUGACGGGGGCCCGCACAAGCGGUGGAGCAUGUGGUUUAAUUCGAUGAUACGCGAGGAACCUUACCAAGGCUUAAAUGUAGAUUGACCGUUCUGGAAACAGAACUUUCGCAAGACAAUUUACAAGGUGCUGCAUGGUUGUCGUCAGCUCGUGCCGUGAGGUGUCAGGUUAAGUCCUAUAACGAGCGCAACCCCUGUUGUUAGUUGCCAGCGAGUCAAGUCGGGAACUCUAACAAGACUGCCAGUGCAAACUGUGAGGAAGGUGGGGAUGACGUCAAAUCAUCACGGCCCUUACGCCUUGGGCUACACACGUGCUACAAUGGCCGGUACAGAGAGCAGCCACUGGGCGACCAGGAGCGAAUCUACAAAACCGGUCACAGUUCGGAUCGGAGUCUGCAACUCGACCCCGUGAAGCUGGAAUCGCUAGUAAUCGGAUAUCAGCCAUGAUCCGGUGAAUACGUUCCCGGGCCUUGUACACACCGCCCGUCAAGCCAUGGAAGCUGGGGGUGCCUGAAGUCGGUGACCGCAAGGAGCUGCCUAGGGUAAAACUGGUAACUAGGGCUAAGUCGUAACAAGGUA
rnacentral:rRNA from 1 species